GAUGAACGCUGGCGGCGUGCCUAAUACAUGCAAGUCGAGCGAACAGACGAGGAGCUUGCUCCUCUGACGUUAGCGGCGGACGGGUGAGUAACACGUGGAUAACCUACCUAUAAGACUGGGAUAACUUCGGGAAACCGGAGCUAAUACCGGAUAAUAUAUUGAACCGCAUGGUUCAAUAGUGAAAGACGGUUUUGCUGUCACUUAUAGAUGGAUCCGCGCCGCAUUAGCUAGUUGGUAAGGUAACGGCUUACCAAGGCAACGAUGCGUAGCCGACCUGAGAGGGUGAUCGGCCACACUGGACCUGAGACACGGUCCAGACUCCUACGGGAGGCAGCAGUAGGGAAUCUUCCGCAAGGGGCGAAAGCCUGACGGAGCAACGCCGCGUGAGUGAUGAAGGUCUUCGGUUCGUAAAACUCUGUUAUUAGGGAAGAACAAAUGUGUAAGUAACUAUGCACGUCUUGACGGUACCUAAUCAGAAGGCCACGGCUAACUACGU
rnacentral:rRNA from 1 species